AUUGAACGCUGGCGGCAGGCCUAACACAUGCAAGUCGAGCGAUUGGCGGACGGGUGAGUAAUGCUUGGGAAUCUGGCUUAUGGAGGGGGAUAACUACGGGAAACUGUAGCUAAUACCGCGUACCAUAGGCUGAGCCCAAGUGGGAUUAGGUAGUUGGUGAGGUAAAGGAUCACCAAGCCGACGCUCUCCAGCUGGUCUGAGAGGAUGACCAGCCAAACUGGGACUGAGACACGGCCCAGACUCCUACGGGAGGCAGCAGUGGGGAAUAUUGCGCAAUGGGGGCAACCUGACGCAGCCAUGCCGCGUGAAUGAAGAAGGCCUUCGGGUUGUAAAGUUCUUUCGGUAGCGAGGCGUUAACUACAGAAGAAGCACCGGCUAACUCCGUGCCAGCCGCCGCGGUAAUAC
rnacentral:rRNA from 1 species